rfam:Myotis brandtii contig186108, whole genome shotgun sequence.
GUGCUCCCUUCAGCAGCACAUUUACCAAAAUCCGAACAACACAGAGAUUAGCAUGGCCCCUGCACAAGGAUGACACACAAAUUCGUGAAGCAUUCCAUGAUUUU